CCCUGAAUUAUACGACCAAUUUGCAUUCUACUAGUGAUUUUGAUGAGAGAUGAGAGGAAAACUCCAUUUCCCUUAAGGAGUGCAUGUUACUGGGGAGGUAUGGUUUGAAAAGGUUCUCAAAGUGAUUAUGUUGUAUUCACCUCUGUGACUCUGUGAAGAGGACAUCCCUCUUGAGAAUCAUUACUUAACGCCAAGGAGAUUCCUCUUCUGUUCAAAGACCCUUCCAUGUGCUCCUGCAGCCUUAGACAUGUGCCAUUCAUCACUUUAGGGAAAGAUUAUUGGAGCCAAACCGGAAGACAAAGAGCUUCAGUAGUAUGGUGAUAUUUUAUCUGUGGUACCAGUGGUGUUUCCUUGAUAUGUUGGUGAUGGUGGUGAGAGGAAGAGUCAUGCCUGGAAAGUCUGCAGAACAAAACUGCCAGGUGACAAUGAGCAAAAGGAAAAAAAGGAGCCUCAAUUGAAAGAGGCCUUCACCAAGGAAAAGCCAGUUGAGGUGUUCAAGCUCCAUCCAAGGUUAAUCCAACUAUUGCUAUCUAAAGAUUAACCUAUUUACUUUAUGAAGAAGUAUAUGAAGUUCAUGCAUCCCAUAGUUCUUCCAUAUAAAUGAUGACACAAGAAGUCACCCAGCACAUGAUAAGCAGAAUUGCAUUGAGAAUUUAUACAUCCUUAGCUUCUUCUGUGACGUUGAUCUGUGGUAUAGUAGACAUUUAGUCUUACUCGUGUUUAAUCCUGAUAAAAGAGCCCUGGAACCAAAACAAAUUUGAACCUCACUUGGUAAGUUGAGUUUGCUUUGGGCUUGUUCCAUUCAAUCCUAAUAAGUUUAACCUUAAUAAAAUCUUGAAGUGUAUCCUGUACAAGUCUAGCAAAUUGACAGCUAAACAUGUGUUCCCAAUUCCUCUUUCAGUGUAUUCUGAUUCUCAGCGCUGCUUUUCCUUCUUUUCUAGAUGCCUCCUUAACUCUAUGUUAUUCUCAGCUACCCAAUUCUUGUAUUAAAUUAAUUAAUUGUAUUUAAUUUAGAUCAAUUGUAUAGCCAAAGAGAAAAGCUGAAAUCUCCCAGUCAUUAUAUUUCUUGGCCACAGGAGUUGCCAUGUUCUCUACUAAAUGUAUUAUUCAUACAUAGCAGGAAUAAGUGAAACCAUAAAGAGCAAAGUAGCAAUGAAUAGAAAUUUGGAAGAUCAGAGAAGAUUGCAAUAAUCCAGAACCACCUUCACAAUAACUUUCGUAAGUUUUUUAAGAGUAAUCAGAAAUUUUUAAAGAUAAUUUGUUAAAAUCUGGAGAAUUAUGUGACUCAAAGCGUGAAACAAUCUGUGCAAAUUUUUUUAAUCACUUAACUGGAGGAUUCUGGGAUAGAAUGCAGAAUGUGAAAAAAUUAUCUAAAUGUAUUACAAAUGUACAAAACAACCUCAGUCUUAGGGGUGUAGAAAAACUGUGUUGAUCUAAAUAACU
rnacentral:lncRNA from 1 species